rnacentral:rRNA from 1 species
UACGUAGGGGGCGAGCGUUGUCCGAAGUUACUGGGCGUAAAGCGCGCGUAGGCGGGGGAUUAAGUGUGAGGUGAAAGGCUGGGGCUCAACCCCAUGCAGUGCCUCUCAUACUGGUCUUCUUGAGGGCGGUAGGGAGAAGUGGAAUGGCUGGUGUAGCGGUGAAAUGCGUAGAUAUCAGGAAGAACACCCGUGGCGAAGGCGGCUCUCUGGUACGUGACCGACGCUGAGACGCGAAAGCGUGGGGAGCAAACAGG